GACACGCUGGCGGCGUGCUUAAUACAUGCAAGUCGAACGGAAGUAGCAAUACUUUAGUGGCGCACGGGUGAGGAACACGUAGAUGAUCUGCCCUUGAGAUCGAGAUAACCCGGGAAACUGGGGCUAAUACCGGAUAAUGCAUUAUUAUUGGAUUAAUAAUGUUAAAGCGGCGCAAGUCGCACUUGAGGAUGAGUCUGCGACCUAUCAGCUAGUUGGCGGUGUAAUGGACCACCAAGGCAAAGACGGGUAGCUGAUCUGAGAGGAUGAUCAGCCACACUGGGACUGAGACACGGCCCAGACUCCUACGGGAGGCAGCAGUAGGGAAUAUUGCGCAAUGGGGGAAACCCUGACGCAGCGACGCCGCGUGAGUGAUGAAGGCCUUUCUGGUUGUAAAGCUCUGUAAGGAGGGAAGAAUGUCAGGCAGUAACGUGUCUGAGUGACGGUACCUCCGGAGUAAGGACCGGCUAAAUACGUG
rnacentral:rRNA from 1 species